UGNNAGAUAAGCCAUGCAUGUCUAGUACAUGCCGUAUUAAGGCGAAACCGCGAAUGGCUCAUUAAAUCAGUUAUGGUUCCUUGGAUCGUACCUUACUACUUGGAUAACUGUGGCAAUUCUAGAGCUAAUACAUGCAGCAGAGCUCCGACCUUCGGGGACGAGCGCUUUUAUUAGACCAAAACCAAUCGGACCUCGUGUCCGCCCUCCGUGGUGACUCUGUAUAACUUUGGGCUGAUCGCACGGGCCCGUCCCGGCGACGUAUCUUUCAAGUGUCUGCCUUAUCAACUUUCGAUGGUAGGUUACGCGCCUACCAUGGUCGUAACGGGUAACGGGGAAUCAGGGUUCGAUUCCGGAGAGGGAGCCUGAGAAACGGCUACCACAUCCAAGGAAGGCAGCAGGCGCGCAAAUUACCCACUCCCAGAACGGGGAGGUAGUGACGAAAAAUAACAAUACGGGACUCUUUUGAGACCCCGUAAUUGGAAUGAGUACACUCUAAAUCCUUUAACAAUUAGCAAUUGGAGGGCAAGUCUGGUGCCAGCCGCCGCGGUAAUUCCAGCUCCAAUAGCGUAUAUUAAAGUUGUUGCGGUUAAAAAGCUCGUAGUUGGAUCUCAGUUCCAGACGGGUGGUCCGCCAACCGGUGGUUACUGCCUGUUCUGAACAGCCAGCCGGUUUCUCUUGAUGAUCUUCACCGGUUGUCUUGGGUGACCGGUAAGUUUACUUUGAAAAAAUUAGAGUGCUCAAAGCAGGCGCGACGCCUGAAUAAUGGUGCAUGGAAUAAUGGAAUAGGACCUCGGUUCUAUUUUGUUGGUUUUCGGAACCCGAGGUAAUGAUUAAGAGGGACAGAUGGGGGCAUUCGUAUUGCGACGCUAGAGGUGAAAUUCUUGGACCGUCGCAAGACGAACUACUGCGAGNUUUUUUNCCCAAGGAA
rnacentral:rRNA from 1 species